rnacentral:lncRNA from 1 species
AUAAGGUGGAGAGCAUGUUCUGCCUUCUCCGUGCCUUUGUGCGCCACUGCAGCUCAUGCACCUGGUCCCCCUGAACAGUCGUGGGGGGAUGCAGCAUGGUGGUUUAAAGAAGCAGGCAGAUAUAACCCGCUUUUACCAAUGAAGUCUGGAUUCUUCUCAUUCAAAUUAUCUUUGGAACUAGCAUUGCAAGUCCGUGAGGUUUUCUAUCAGCGACUUCAUCUGAGGAAUGGAUUUCUGUCUUCACAGAGAUGCCAAAGCUCCUGUCAGGAGGAACAUCCAUUGUCUUGUCAGGAGGAGCAUCCAUUGUCUGUCAGAAGGAGCAUCCAUUGCCUGUCUGGAGGAGCAUCCAUUGUCUGUCAGAAGGAGCAUCCAUUGCCUGUCUGGAGGAGCAUCCAUUGUCUGUCAGAAGGAGCAUCCAUUGUCUGUCAGGAAGGAGCAUCCAUUGUCAGGAGGGGCAGCCAUGACCCUGACCAUUCUGGGUACCCUAACAACCAUAAUGUAGAAUAGCGAGGUACCACGUUGCACAUCCCAUUUGUGCUGCUCUAAGUAGGAGGGAGUUCCCAGCUGGCUGCAGAGCAGGGCCCCUUCCUCUAGUAUUUCUCUGACAGCACUUUCCCCCAAAUACAUGCUAUUUAAUGCAAGAAACCUGAAAAUACUCUGUAAAAUUUAAAAUAUUAAAUACACAUGGAAAAAU